GUGGGGAAUAUUGUACAAUGGGCGCAAGCCUGAUGCAGCCAUGCCGCGUGUAUGAAGAAGGCCUUCGGGUUGUAAAGUACUUUCAGCGGGGAGGAAGGCGUUGUGGUUAAUAACCACAGCGAUUGACGUUACCCGCAGAAGAAGCACCGGCUAACUCCGUGCCAGCAGCCGCGGUAAUACGGAGGGUGCAAGCGUUAAUCGGAAUUACUGGGCGUAAAGCGCACGCAGGCGGUCUGUCAAGUCGGAUGUGAAAUCCCCGGGCUCAACCUGGGAACUGCAUUCGAAACUGGCAGGCUAGAGUCUUGUAGAGGGGGGUAGAAUUCCAGGUGUAGCGGUGAAAUGCGUAGAGAUCUGGAGGAAUACCGGUGGCGAAGGCGGCCCCCUGGACAAAGACUGACGCUCAGGUGCGAAAGCGUGGGGAGCAAACAGGAUUAGAUACCCCUGUAGUCC
rnacentral:rRNA from 1 species